AUUUCUUCCGGGUCAUCUCUUCCCAGUUACUAGACGAGAGGACAGGGGUAAGGACUGGGAAGGGCAGCAACCGGUUUGUCUUUGCCGGACGAGCGCUGCCUAAACCGGCUAGUCGUGAACCCGAAAUCGGUGUUUUUCUCUGAUGAAUGGUUCGCUGGUCCAGAGUGGCAGAGAGAAACGAAAAAAUACCACGCGGAGACUUGUAUUGGUCAGCUGGAGCAAGAUAGACAGUGUGCUAGGAUGUGAAGAUGGUGAUCAAAGUGUGCAGAGUUCCUGCAGUUCCAUAUGCUGAAAAAAGCUCUAUUCAGCUCUUGAUAUGGAUUCUCGAGUGAUGAAGUACGGGUCAACAAAGCUUGGUAUCCAUGGAGCUCCUCAAUGAAGGAGCAGAUUGUUCCAAAAGUGGAGGUUGCUCAGAAGAAAAAGACUAAGCAGUGGAAUUGGACACAGGGAUACUGGUGAGAGAAGUGUGCAGAGUUCCUGCUCCACCUGUUGGAGAAAGCAGAGAGCAACUUUGAGCUCACGACAGUGGGCUAGGAUGCGAAGAUGGUGAUCAAAGUGUGCAGAGUUCCUGCAGUUCCAUAUGCUGAAAAAAGUAAAAAGUGUAUUUUAAGGAAGUUUCAUGUCAAAUGGAUUAGCAAGAAGUGUGAUCUGACAUAUUAAAAUAAACUGCACCACUGGGGUGACUUUCUUAGGACACCUUUGGAAUUUCCAUGAAACUGAUUUAAGAAUUCUGAGCAGCCAUGGAUCGUGAUAUGGAGUCUCCAGUGAUCAAGUACGGGUCAACAAAGCUGUGUUUUAGUAUUCAUGGAGAUCCUCACAGAGAAGGAGCAGAUUGUUCCAAAAGAAGAGGUUGCUCAGAAGAAAAAUGUAAUUCAACUAGGGGAAUUAAGUACUAAGCAGUGGAAUUGUACACAGGGAUACUGGUGAGAGAAGUGUGCAGAGUUCUUGUUCCACCUGUUGGAGAAAGCAGAGAGCAACUUUGAGCUCAAGGAUUGUGAUAUGGAUUCUCCAGUGAUCAAGUACAGGUCAACAAAGCUGUGUUUUGGUAUUCAUGGAGAUUCUCACAGAGAAGGAGCAGAUUGUCCCAAAAGAAGAGGUUGCUCAGAAGACAAAAGUUUCCAGGAUGAUUGGUGCAGGGGAAUAAAACAAACGUAGUGCAUAAAAUAAAAACAAAUCAAGUAACCA